AACGCUGCGGCGUGCCUAAUACAUGCAAGUAGAACGCUGAAGCUUGGUGCUUGCACCGAGCGGAUGAGUUGCGAACGGGUGAGUAACGCGUAGGUAACCUGCCUCUUAGCGGGGGAUAACUAUUGGAAACGAUAGCUAAUACCGCAUAAAAGUCGAUAUCGCAUGAUGUUGACUUGAAAGGUGCAAUUGCAUCACUAAGAGAUGGACCUGCGUUGUAUUAGCUAGUUGGUGAGGUAACGGCUCACCAAGGCGACGAUACAUAGCCGACCUGAGAGGGUGAUCGGCCACACUGGGACUGAGACACGGCCCAGACUCCUACGGGAGGCAGCAGUAGGGAAUCUUCGGCAAUGGACGGAAGUCUGACCGAGCAACGCCGCGUGAGUGAAGAAGGUUUUCGGAUCGUAAAGCUCUGUUGUAAGAGAAGAACGAGUGUGAGAGUGGAAAGUUCACACUGUGACGGUAACUUACCAGAAAGGGACGGCUAACUACGUG
rnacentral:rRNA from 1 species